UACGUAGGGUCCGAGCGUUGUCCGGAGUUACUGGGCGUAAAGCGCGCGCAGGCGGCGGUGCUGGCCCGGCGUGAAAGCCCCCGGCUCAACCCCGGGCUUGCGGUCGAUACGGGCAGGCUCGAGUUCGGUAGGGGAGACUGGAAUUCCUGGUGUAGCGGUGAAAUGCGCAGAUAUCGGGAAGAACACCCGUGGCGAAGGCGGUUCUCUGGGACGGUACUGACGCUGAGACGCGAAAGCUAGGGGAGCGAACAGG
rnacentral:rRNA from 1 species